rnacentral:lncRNA from 1 species
GUUGGUGCUGAGGAAGUGCAGCCUCUUCGGCUCCCUUCGCUAGGUCUGGUGAUUGUCCCAUCGCUUCCGGACGCGGGAUCCGAGUGUGUGGAUCGCCCUAGAGGGAGGGAAGCCCAGGAGGAAGGACUGGAACCGGGCCCCGCCCUGCUUGUCCACCUUCCAGCUUUUCCACCCCGCAACAGGUGUGUCUUCCUGUAAUCCAAGCCGGGGUGUGAGCCCGCAAGUGUGCAUGGAGGUAACGGGCCGGGUCUGGGGGCGCCUCUGGCCGGAUUUGAGGGUAAGCACCAAGGGGUUUUUUGCAUCUGGAGCUAAACCUGCGUACUCGAGCUCCACUCUCUUUUUGUUCAGCGGGAGUGCCUGCUCAGUGGCUCUCGGCGGGCACUUCUCUUUCCCAGGGAUCUCUUAGCCACUGUGCAAAACUCUGAAGUACGAUUGUGACGCAUGCUGCUGACCCCAUGCUGUGUCUUUUAGGGCCGCCAACCUUAGCGUGUGUAAGGGCUCAGACUUCUUGCCUGAGCCCCAGACCGAGGCCCCAGCUGGAAAGACGCUGCUUGGGAAACCCUGGUGUCCAGGCUCCAGAGGAACGGAUGAGCUCCUGAGAUGGAAGGUAGUGGGGAUGACAGAGGGAGAGCGGGCUGAUGGAGGCAAAAGAACAGUCAGGACUGGAAGAUCAAACACCUGACAGCUGGUAGAGGUGGAAGGAGGGAAUCUUAUCGUAAGGGCAGAGAAAAACUGAACUGCAUUAUGGUGCGAGAUUUUUACUUAGGUUUCUAUGAAGAGACUUGCAGGAAGAGUUAAUUCUCCCUGGCUUCGGGAUCGGGGAAUGAAAAGGAGCGAUGAUUCAGAAUGUCUGUGAUCCUCACGUGACUUUUAUUUCUUAAAUAUUAGAAUGAUAAUCCUGUAGUCAGAAAAAAUCUUGGUAAUCAUCCCUUCAGUACAAGAAUUAAAGUAUCCCUGGCAGAUGGCCGUUUGUUAAGUCUAUGCCUGAAGAAGUGUGGCAUUAAACUCUUCAUUUUGGGUGCAGACUAUUCCCUUGGUGGCUCUUUCUUUUUUUAAGUUCCUUAUGUUAGGCAGAAGUGCCUGUCCCUGUAACUUCUGUGUUGGGUCUUAGUUCUUAGUUUCCAAAAGCAAGAGACUGUUCUCUCUCACAUUACUGCCCUUCAGAAUGUGAAUUCAGCUGUUAGAACUCCUACUCAUAAAUUCUUUUCUUUUCUAAGCAAAACAGCCUCAGUUCCUUUGAUGGAUCUUCAUAUGAUAUAUCUGGACCUCUUUUGCCAAGACUCUUCUGCCUGAGAGCAUGCUUCUUAAAAUGCAUUGCCUAAAAUGAAACAUAGUUCUUUAGAUAUGUUUAUGAUAAAUUCUAUAGAGUUUUAGUACCUAAAAGUACUUCUUUCAGUUUGGAUUAU